CAUCUUCCGGGUGUCAUCUCCAUCGAUGCCAUCACGUACGUCGCCUCGGUCUCCCCGACAGAUCACAGACGGAAAGGGAUGGAUCAUGGAUGCCAGGGACUGGUGGUUUGCUGGUUUCAGAAGUGGCCAUUGGCGAGUGGCUAAGGGCGUCCGUCUUUCAGGAGCGAGGUCCAAGUGGAACUAAUCACUUCGAGCAAUAUUGUUGC
rnacentral:lncRNA from 1 species